GUCACAGUCUGACUGAGUAUGGGUGAGAGCACACAGGUUGGCUAGCCUGCCUUGGAGCUGGGCUGGUCGCCAUGUCUGGACUAGACACCGGCGCAGAGGAGGGUUCCUGCCAUGGAGCUGGACUGGAUGCCGUGCUUGGACUGGACAUCGGCGCAGAGGAAGGCUCCUGCCAUGGAGCAGGACUGGACGCCAUGCCUGGACUGGGCGCAGAGGAAGGCUCCAGCCUUGGAGCGGGACUAGACGCCGUGCCUGGACUGGGCGCCGGCGCAGAGGAAUGCUCCGGCCUUGGAGCGGGACUAGACGCCGUGCCUGGAUUGGGUGCCAGCGCAGAGGAAGGCUCCAGCUUUGGAGCGGGACUGGACAUCGGCGCAGAGGAAGGCUCCUGCCAUGGAACGGGACUGGACGCCGGACUCUUUGGACCGUCGCCGGAAGCUCCUUCAUUGUAGGCCUUCAUUGUAAAUAAGAAUUUGUUCUUAACUGACUUGCCUAGUUAAAUAAAAAUUAUUUAAAAAAAAUUGGGUAGUUCUUCCAUUCUUCUCUGCAGAUCCUUUCAAGCUAUGUCUGGUUGGAUGGGGAGCAAUUGCUGCACAGCUAUUUUCAAGUCUCUUCAGAGAUGUUUGAUCGGUUUCAAGUCUGGGCUCUGGCUGGGCCACUCAAGGACAUUCAGCCACUUGUCCCAAAGCCACUCUUGAGUUGCCUUGGCUGUGUGCUUAGGGUCGUUGUCCUGUUGGAAGGUGAACCUUCGCCCAAGUCUGAGGUCCUGAGCACUCUGGAGC
ensembl:lncRNA